GAGCGAGCGGGACACCGACAGUGGCAAGCCGGCCGGCGAGGAAGACAGGACGCCUGCCUGCCUGCCUCCCUGUCGAGCGAAGAGAAGAGGAGAGGAACGACGUCCAGCAGCGUCCAGUUGCACCGGCGGCCAUGGACGCGCUGAAAAACGCCGGGAGAGCGAUCAUCAAGAGCCCUGGCGUCCCGCGGCACACGUGGGGAACUUCCAAGCACGAAAAGCUUCCCGAGAACUGGACAGACACCAAAGAGACUCUGUUGGAGGGCAUGGCGUUCAACCUCAAGUACCUGGGAAUGACAUUAGUGGGCCAGCCCAAAGGGGAGGACAUGGCCGCCGCCGCCAUCCGCAGGAUCGUCACCACGGCCAGAGCCGGCGCUAAGAAGUUCCGCAAAGUCACGCUGACCAUCUCCCCGAAAGGCAUCGUCAUUACCGACACGGACACGGCGGACCUGGUCGAAAACGUCUCCAUCUACAGAAUCUCGUACUGCACAGCAGACAAAAGCCAGGACAAGGUGUUUGCCUACGUGUCUCAGAGCGCUUUCAACGAGACGCUGGAGUGUCACGCCUUCCUCUGCCAGAAGAAGAAGAUUGCUCAGGCCGUGACGCUGACUGUCGCACAGGCCUUCAAAGUGGCCCUGGAUCUUUGGGAGCUUGCUCAACAAGAUAAAAGCAGGAAGGCAAGAAGCGCAUGUUGCUCCUGCGCAGCCGCCGCCACCAACGGUCACGGGGCGGCAACAGACGCUCGCUGCCUUCCCGCAGCGGCGUUCUCUUCAGACACGUCUGGCAGCGCCGACAAGAUGCUGCGUCGGCCGUUCCUGUCCACCUCCAUCAGCUCGCCGUCGCCUCGCAGCAACCCCGCUCGGAGGCGACCCGUCAAACACGACUCCUGGGUAGGUUGGCCAAAAUGUUUGGAUGGUCUACCUAAUGAGCACAUGGCACCCCAAUCAUGCUUACUUGCGUGUAUUGAUUUUUGUUUUCUAUCUGCGCAGGACGUGGACGACGGACUGGAUGACCUUUUGGCAAGCAGCAUGGACGUAGAGGACACAGGCAGUGAAUGGUCAAGCCCGGCUCCUGACCCAUCUUUGCCCAUGCAGCUUUGAAUCUUGAAGUCGAUCGGACCGCGAGAGACGAAGGGGAUCGCUCGAGCCCGGUGGGAUCAGUGUGGACCCACAAUGUUGCCUCGAUGAGGACAACCAUCAAAAGCACCACCGCGAGGACCACCACCGUGAUCCGCCACAAUGCGGACAACUUCACAAUAAAGCCACUGUCAUUCUUGAGACACGAGCACUCGGUGUCCCUCACAAGCGCACAGCUGGUACAAGAACCCCGAAGAACCUUUCUUGGAAGACGGACGGCCGCAGCCAUGUCUCGUUUCCUCCUUUCUUUUCUUUGUGCUUUUCAAACAAAUUUGUUGAGGCACCUCACUUCUCCGUUUUGUAUCCAAGCAGCACGUUGCCACGCUAACGGGCUGUCAAGAAUAUCUUGCAGUGAAACGUCGCCACAUAUUGUGUGGAAUUUAAUUUGACAUCCGACAAGACGCAUCUCUACCGGCAGAUGGCUUGCAUGCAGGUCAGCAGAGUCCAUCCAGCACGGUAUGUGGAACAUGAAAUAUGAUUUUGCUAU